GCGGUGGAGCAUGUGGUUUAAUUCGAAGCAACGCGAAGAACCUUACCAGGUCUUGACAUCCCGAUGCUAUUUCUAGAGAUAGAAAGUUACUUCGGUACAUCGGUGACAGGUGGUGCAUGGUUGUCGUCAGCUCGUGUCGUGAGAUGUUGGGUUAAGUCCCGCAACGAGCGCAACCCUUACCCUUAGUUGUUUUCCCGAAAGGAUUACCCUCUAAGGGGACUGCCCCGGACAACGGGGAGGAAGGUGGGGAUGACGUCAAGUCCGCAUGCUCCUUACGUCUAGGGCUACACACGUCCUACAAUGGGGUCGACAGUGGGAUGCAAAGCCGCGAGGUGGAGCCAAUCCCCAAACGGCCUCUCAGUUCGGAUAGUAGUCUGCAACUCGACUACUUGAAGUCGGAAUCGCUAGUAAUGGCGGAUCAGCAUGCCGCCGUGAAUACGUUCCCGGGUCUU
rnacentral:rRNA from 1 species